UCCAGACUCCUACGGGAGGCAGCAGUGGGGAAUAUUGCACAAUGGGGGAAACCCUGAUGCAGCGACGCCGCGUGAGUGAAGAAGUAUUUCGGUAUGUAAAGCUCUAUCAGCAGGAACGAGACAAGACGGUACCUGACUAAGAAGCCCCGGCUAACUACGUGCCAGCAGCCGCGGUAAUACGUAGGGGGCAAGCGUUAUCCGGAUUUACUGGGUGUAAAGGGAGCGUAGGCGGCCUGGCAAGCCUGAUGUGAAAUACCGGGGCCCAACCCCGGGGCUGCAUUGGGAACUGCCAGGCUGGAGUGCCGGAGAGGCAGGCGGAAUUCCUAGUGUAGCGGUGAAAUGCGUAGAUAUUAGGAGGAACACCAGUGGCGAAGGCGGCCUGCUGGACGGUGACUGACGCUGAGGCUCGAAAGCGUGGGGAGCAAACAGGAUUAGAUACCCCAGUA
rnacentral:rRNA from 1 species